UACGAGGGGGGCAAGCGUUGUUCGGAAUUAUUGGGCGUAAAGAGCGUGUAGGCGGCCUUACAGGUCAGCUGUGAAAACUCGAGGCUCAACCUCGAGACGUCGGUUGAAACCGUAUGGCUAGAGUCCGGAAGAGGAGAGUGGAAUUCCCGGUGUAGCGGUGAAAUGCGCAGAUAUCGGGAAGAACACCCGUGGCGAAGGCGGUUCUCUGGGCCUGUACUGACGCUGAGGAGCGAAAGCGUGGGGAGCGAACAGG
rnacentral:rRNA from 1 species